rnacentral:rRNA from 1 species
AUUGAACGCCGGCGGCAGGCCUAACACAUGCAAGUCGAGCGGAGCGGCGGACGGGUGAGUAAUGCCUAGGAAUCUGCCUGGUAGUGGGGGAUAACGUCCGGAAACGGGCGCUAAUACCGCAUACUAUCAGAUGAGCCUAGGUCGGAUUAGCUAGGUGGUGGGGUAAAGGCCUACCAAGGCGACGAUCCGUGACUGGUCGGAGAGGAUGAUCAGUCACACUGGAACUGAGAGACGGUCCCGACUCCUACGGGAGGCAGCAGUGUGGAAUAUUGGACAAUGGGCGAAAGCCUGAUCCAGCCAUGCCGGGUGUGUGAAGAAGGUCUUCGGAUUGUGAAGCACUUUUAGUUGGGAGGCGUUACCAACAGAGUGAACACCGGGUGACUUCGUGCCAGCAGCCGGGGUAAUUC